rnacentral:misc_RNA from 1 species
CUGAGUGAGGGCCCCUCGGGGUCCAAACCUCCCACCCGUGUUUAACGAACCUUGUUGCUUCGGCGGGCCCGCCUCACGGCCGCCGGGGGGCAUCUGCCCCCGGGUCCGCGCCCGCCGAAGCCACCUGUGAACUCUGUCUGAAGUAUGCAGUCUGAGACAAUUAUUAAAUUAAUUA